GAUGAACGCUGGCGGCGUGCCUAAUACAUGCAAGUCGAGCGAACAGACGAGGAGCUUGCUCCUCUGACGUUAGCGGCGGACGGGUGAGUAACACGUGGAUAACCUACCUAUAAGACUGGGAUAACUUCGGGAAACCGGAUCUAAUACCGGAUAAUAUAUUGAACCGCAUGGUUCAAUAGUGAAAGACGGUUUUGCUGUCACUUAUAGAUGGAUCCGCGCCGCAUUAGCUAGUUGGUAAGGUAACGGCUUACCAAGGCGACGAUGCGUAGCCGACCUGAGAGGGUGAUCGGCCACACUGGAACUGAGACACGGUCCAGACUCCUACGGGAGGCAGCAGUAGGGAAUCUUCCGCAAAGGGCGAAAGCUUGACGGAGCAACGCCGCGUGAGUGAUGAAGGUCUUCGGAUCGUAAAACUCUGUUAUUAGGGAAGAACAAAUGUGUAAGUAACUAUGCACGUCUUGACGGUACCUAAUCAGAAAGCCACGGCUAACUACGUG
rnacentral:rRNA from 1 species